ensembl:lincRNA 4930471D02Rik RIKEN cDNA 4930471D02 gene
AAUAGAUCUCUCAGAACUGGAAGCUGAUGAGGCAGAAGGUGCUGAGCUCAGAGACGUGAGCCACGGUGCUAGUCUGGCCGGACAUAGAGCACAAGGUAGCUCCUUACUGUAAAGAAUGAUUUGGUCCAAGGUGUCGGUGGUGUUGAAUCUUUGAGCGACUGUAUUGACGUUAGAGCGUUGCUUUGUCUCCCUGCUUGGCUUUUAUCUCUGUUUCGUCAGCGGCACAUCUGGGGCCCCACCAGGAAAUGAAGAUGGAGAUAGAAGAACAAUGGCAUCCACUCCAGAACUGUUUAUACGUCACUGAAAAUAAGACAUCUGAACUUAAAACCAUCGGGCACUUUGCAUUAUCACCUACCACCAUGAUAACUCCUUUUCAGAUUUCAAAUGUCCCCUUCUUAGGUCUCAUGCGUGGCAGAAUCGAGGAAUUUAUCGGCUCCACACCCUUUUUCUCCAGGCCCAGGUAUUUUUUUCAAUCAGGUAACACUGUUGCUCCAUUUCAACAAAGUAUGAUUUUUUUUUUAAAAAUCACUUUUUAAUGCUUUUUAUAAUGCAAUUAUUCUAUAUAUUAUUUUUAAUUUUGGUGCAUUGAUGUUUCACCUGCAUGUAUGUUUAUAUGAUGGUAUGGGAUGCCCUAGAGCUGGAGUUACUGACAGUUGUAAGUUGUCAUGUGGGAGCUGGGAACUCAACCUAGGUCUUCUGGAAAAGCAGCCAGUGCUUGUAACUAUUGAGCCAUCUCUCCAGCCCCAACAAAGUAUCAUUUGUGUGUGUGUAUGUGUGUGUGUGUGUGUGUGUGUGUGUGUGUGUGUGUGUGUUCAUGUGUGUACAAGUGCAAAUAUUAUGCAGUUUUGAAUGUACAUGCAUGUACUCAGGGGUAGGGGUGGGUAGAAGUGUCAAUUCUCAAACACUGUCCACCUUUUAAAAAACUGUUUAUUUUAUGUGUAUGGGUGUUUCACCUGGAUGUGUGUCUAUGUGUUACACAUAUGCCUGGUUCUCACAGAGAUUGAAGUUAAGAUGGUUGUGAGCCACUAUGUGGGUGCUAGGAACUGAACUUAGGUCUUUUGGAACAGCAGUCAGUGCUCUUCAUCACUGGGCCAUCUCUCCAGCCCCACCUGGCUUUUUGAGCCAGGGACAGUAGGCUAGACUGGCUGGCGACUGAGCCCCAAGGAUCCUCCUGUCCCAACCUCCAUAGUUCUGGAAUUACCGGAGCAAGCCACCAUGCAUACGUGGUCUCUGAGAUUUGAACUCAGCUCUUCAUGUUUGCAUGAGACACACUUUACCAAUCUGGGUGACACCGCUCCCCACCAGCCCUUCCUUGUAAAAUUUUUUUCACCUUUAACCAACAUCUUCCUCCACAUCAUAACCAAACUUUUCUUUUGUUUCAAAUAAGACCUAAAAUAAGAAAAUGGAAAAAGGAAACCAGGAAAGACCAAUUCUUGUUCUCCAAGGUGACAGAUGAGUUGCACACAUUUGGAAUUGCUCUUCUGUUUUUGUUCUUAUGUUACAUUUGGGAGGGUUUGUUACACAAUGCUGGAUACCAGUAUUUCUUACGUGUGGAUGUGCAAAUUCCCCGUGUAAUUUGGGAACCUAAUUAACAUAGUAUAAGCAAUAAGCCGAAUCCACAAUGUGAGGCUUGCUUUGAUUUAGAUUUCUAUUCUCUUGCUACCCUAGCAUUCCAUAUCAUCCUUCCUACCUUAAUUUUUUGGUUGUGUUCUGUAUUGCAAAUGAUAUCUGUGGAGCAGGCUGGCCUCAGACCCACAGAUAUCUGCUUGCCCUCUGCCUCUCAAGUUCUGGGAUCAGAGAUGUGCACCACCACAUCCCUUAUUAUCUCCUUCCUUUUCAAGAGAGUAUUAGGUCUUUAGUGGCUUUGGGUUGUAUGUUUCCUUUGCUUUUCUAUCCCCAGUCAUUACAUUGCACUUGGAGCAUAGAAUGCAUGGACUUCCUAAAGGCUUGUGAUUGACAGCCAUGGAAUGUAUGUCUCAGAGAGAUGGAUGAAAUAAUGGACUAGACAUUUUACCUUUUCACCCUUUUCACCCUUAGAUACUGCACUUCAUUUGUAAAAUGGAAAUAAAAUCAUUCUGAUCCGUC